GCUUCAUCUAAUGUGAUCAACCUGCUGGUGUAAUUUAUGGAUGAGAGAAGACGCCAUGGGUUUAUUUGCGACACCGAGUCUUUUCGUCAUUUGUCUCUGCUUUGCAGUGGGACAGAGUUACACUGACUGGGGAGUGACUUAUCGCUCUUCUUGGGUCUGUGCUAUAAAAGGAUCAACGGUGGUAAUGCACUGUGAUUAUGAACACCCACACAGUGUUGGUAUGAUAACCAUUAGGGUUGAGGAAACAUUUUGGUUUACUGAAAGUGAUGACAACCCUGUGGGUGUGGACACACAGGCGCAGUACGCAGGCCGUGUGCAGUACAGCUGUACUGGGAAGAGCUGCAGUUUGACAAUUAAAGACGUGAAAGAGAGCGACUCAGCUGUGUACAAGUUUAGGUUCAUCACCAACAAACCAGAUGGAAGAUAUACCGGCAAACCAGGAGUCCGGUUAUAUGUCACAGGUUUAAAGGUUUCUGUCCAAACGAGCUACAGUCCAGCAGAGCUGGAGUGUUCCAGCAUGUGUGAUUUACCUGCCCGUUCUAAAUAUGUG